AAAAAACUGUUUCAAACCUAAAGAAGAAAUUCUGCAAGUUAAAUUGUCAAAGUACCUAAAUCAAGUUAUUGAGACACUAAAAGACUAAGUCACCAGUUUCAAAUGAACCAAUCGACACUCAACAGCAGUUGGAAGCAACAUAUACCAAGUGGAUGGUUGUUAGUCUCGACCCUGCACAAAAUACAACUCAGCAGCGCCUGCUUGGCCUUGGUCUGCUUCACCAUGACAACUUUCAGGACAAUACCCCAUCAAACAAGCCAAUCCAUAGUAAGAUACCUUUCUUUACUAACAUCUCCAGCACCCAGGCCGUAUUUAUCUCCGAGUGGGCUGUUCAUCACAUUCAGUACUCAGGCCUCUCCUCCUGUACAACACAAGG
rnacentral:misc_RNA from 1 species